UACGUAGGUGGCAAGCGUUGUCCGGAAUUAUUGGGCGUAGAGCGCGCGCAGGCGGUCCUUUAAGUCUGAUGUGAAAGCCCACGGCUCAACCGUGGAGGGUCAUUGGAAACUGGGGGACUUGAGUGCAGAAGAGGAGAGUGGAAUUCCACGUGUAGCGGUGAAAUGCGUAGAGAUGUGGAGGAACACCAGUGGCGAAGGCGACUCUCUGGUCUGUAACUGACGCUGAGGCGCGAAAGCGUGGGGAGCAAACAGG
rnacentral:rRNA from 1 species